UCGAUCCCCUCGAAGUGAUCAAGGAGGGUCGAUCCCCUCGAAGCGAUCAAGGAGGCCGAUCCCCUCGAAGCGAUCAUUAUCAUCCCCAUUUCUCCCUUUUCUUUUCUUCUUUUUUUAUGAUAAGACUUUAGGGUCUUAUCAUUUGGUAUUAGAGCGACGAUAAGACCUUUAGGGUCUUAUCAUUUGGUAUCAGAGCAGCGAUCCUUGGCAUUCUCGUUGCAACGAAGCUAUAAAAAAAAAAGAAAAAAAAGAAGAAACGAAUAAAGAAAGAAAGAAAGAAAGAAAGAAAGAAAGAGAGAAGAAGAAGCAGCAAUCGCAGCCACGCACCCCUGCUUCCCCUGCGUCCGGCCAGC
rnacentral:lncRNA from 1 species